UAAGAAUUGGAAGAAAGAGAGAGGGGCUAUGGGGUGGGGAAACCACCACCACUACCCCACAAAAAGGUUACAGAGGUACAAGGGGCGUAACCCCACAAUAUAUAUAGAAAAAAAGAGACGAAAAAUGGGGCAGACAGUCCACUCACAAAAAAGUGGGUGGAAUGCCUAGCCUCAUUCAAAGUACCUCAUAAUGUAAAUAGUCACAUAGAAGAGGAUAAAUAACCUUUAUUAGAAAAAAAUGCUAAAAUGGUAUAUAGUCCAAAUACUAUUACCAUACACUAAAAUAGUAAUGAUGGGGUGAUUUUGACAAAAUUCUACGCCAGAAAGAAUGCAGGUGGAUUUAUAAACUUAAUACCCUCAAUCCAAGAGGACUCAAUGAGGGGUUUUCUUUUUCUCCAUUUAUUUGAAUUAUUUAGUGCUCUUUGCCUUUAAUAAAUUUCAUCUAACUUUAACUAAAUAAAAUUAUAUCUCUUAUAAUCUGGUUUUUUCCUAUAUUGCAUAAUACAUAUAAUAUAAUCGGUCUUUCUAUUGGCACACUCAUCUUUCCCUGUGAUCAUUUUUAGUAUACAGUGUAUGGUUACAACCUUUAAUACUGGCAAGUGGAUCAUGGGACAUCCAUGUUAACAUGUGUCAUAUAAAGGAUAUUCUGUCACCCUUCCUUUUGAGUUACUUUACUCUUUAGCAAGCCCUGUCUAUAUACAAUAUAACAUAUUUAUAUAUAUAUAUACCAGUCAAUCGUUUAUAUACACAGGUAUUAAACUCAACCUUUUUAUGGUGUGAGUCUCCUUUAAACAGCUUAUUUUCAAUACACACUUGGCGUCUAGCAAGGUCUAUAUGGUUUUUUAUUCUCUAAAGUCUCGUUUGAUAUAACACCUAGAGUUUAGUAAGGCUUAUACGGCUUUUAUUAUUUCUCAAUAUACCCUUAAAGCGAUUAUUUGCCGUUCUUUCUAGCCUUUGAACUGAAUAUUUAUUAUUUUUAUUAUCAUUUAACCUUGCAUCCUUAUACUCCUUUCUGGAUGAAUGUUGUUACUGUGCUAAUCUGCUUUGAUGUUUUGUUACUUUUUUGUUAAAAACAUACUUACUUUAGCUUUGAGCCUUAAUUGCAACAUGUAUCUACUUUUUUUUUUUUUUUUUCAUUAGUGUAUACUGAGUGAAUAGGGUGACCACUCCCACCUCCUCCGAUUGGUUCAAUAUGCAGGGGAGGUCACCUGUCACUCUUUCACAACCUGUGGUCUUUUGAUUGGAGGGCUUUAAUUGAAGGGUGUGUCUAUAUCCCCUUUAUAACUGCUUCCCGUGUCACUUACCAGGUAGCUCUUGACAAAGGCGUAUCUAAAACGCCGAAACGCGCGUCGAGAUAUUUUCUAGCCGAUGCUAUUAUACUCAAUUGAUUUUCUUUACUCUCAUCUUUCAUUUACCUGGGUUUCCACAGCACAUGUGUUUGCGCCUAUAUUUUCUCCUGAAACAGACUUAGGGAUUUGGAUAGGCUGCCAUGAAGCAGCAGUUAGUUUUGCCAUUUCUUUUAGGAUAGUUAGUUUUUUAGGGUGACUCAGAGGGGGGGGGGGGUUCUAUCUUUCCUCUCUUUGUGGGGUAUUAGCUCCUUUUCUCUUUAGUAUAAGCUACUCGAUAUUAGUUUGGGCGCGCCCCAUUAGUUGCUAUUAACCCUGCCCUUUCCAGAUUCUCUCAGACACUGCUCUAAGACUAUCCUUUUUUUCUAUCCAAUUACCCAGCUGGGUCCUUUCCUAGAAUGGAUUUAGACUAACCUGCUUUGUUACCCAUUUAUUAUUUUAGGUGUAUUUUUACACCUUUAUUAAGUCAAACAUACCUUGCAGGAUUAGCCUCUCCCAGGCUUUUAUAAGUUUGGUGGUUAACUUAUAAUCAAUACACUAUUUUAGUGUAUGGUAAUAGUAUUUGGACUAUAUACCAUUUUUUUCUAAUAAAGGUUGUUUGUCCUCUUCUAUGUGACUAUUUACAUUAUGAGGUACUUUGAAUGAGGCUAAGCAUUCCACCCACUUUUUUGUGAGUGGACUGUCUGCCCCAUUUUUCGUCUCUUUUUUUCUAUAUUUAUUGUGGGGUUAUGCCCCUUGUACCUCUGUAACCUUUUUGUGGGGUAGUGGUGGUGGUUUCCCCACCCCAUAGCCUCUCUCUCUCUAUAUAUAUAUAUAUUCUCUCUCUAUAUACAUAUACACAUAUACAUAUACACACAUACACAUACACAUAUAUAUAUAUCUAUAUCUAUCUAUCUAUCUCUUUUGUAGCCAGGUACAUUGACCUUGAGAAAGACCCGAAUGGGUCGAAACGUCGGCAAUUUUUGAUGCUAUACCUAUUGGAAUAAACUACCUCCUUUUUUUCUUUUAUUAAGUCCUAAGAGUGCAUCUCUUUAUUUUCUGUGUACAUAUUUUCAACGUGGGAUUACACCUAGGCUACAUUGGAUUAUAUAAAUGAAAGGGUGAGUGCCAAGAAACAAUUUUUUUGUGUAUGUAUGUACAUAUACACACACACACUAUAUAUAUAUAUAUAUAUAUAUAUAUAUAUAUAUAUAUAUAUAUAUAUAUAUAUAUAUAUAUAUAUAUAUAUAUAUAUAUACAUAUAUAUAUACACACAUAUAUAUAUAUACACACACACACACACAUACAUACACACACAUAUAUACAUACACACACACACAGAAUCCAGAACACUCACUUAUUCACUAAAAAAUGAUUUCAAAUCCUAGAGAUUGUAAUAGUUUUAUUUAAAAACACCUCACCUAGGGAAAAAAUAAUGGGGGUGAAUAAGCGAGUGCGCUGGAUUCUUUAUUUUGUAUAUUGUAUAUUUUGGCCCCAGCAGCACCCUAUAAUGUAUGCAUGUUUAGGUGAGUGCAGCCCUCUUGGUUGUGUUUGUAUAUUUGGGAGUCCAGGCCAACUCCUUGGUUUNNNNNNNNNNNNNNNNNNNNNNNNNNNNNNNNNNNNNNNNNNNNNNNNNNNNNNNNNNNNNNNNNNNNNNNNNNNNNNNNNNNNNNNNNNNNNNNNNNNNCAUUAAUUGUGUCUAAACAGCACUAUAAAUUACUGCAGUAUCUUCGUAUGAAGAUUAAUCUCCAUUGAAAGCAACAGAAUUGCAGGAGUGUAUAAAGUAUAUCGAUUUAACUCCUAUGAAUGUAAUUAAAUUGCUUUAGAAAAGGGAGACUUUGAGGUAUGUGGCAGGAGAAGAAUUUCUAAGGCUAUAAUUUAUGACUAAAUCUCAAUUUUGAAUCUGAUUUUGUAGUGAUCCUUUUAGAUCAAUAGUUUGUUCUGUAUAGAGUAUGCUAAGCCUCUCACCCCAUAAGUAUUAUAUAUGAGUUCUGUCAACAGCUAUAUGAUAAAGUAAACAGGUGAUAGAGAGUACAUAAAGUCUUGUAGAGCAUGUUUCAUCCAAGAUUCCAUAUUUAACAGAUAUACCAUGUGUAACAGAAACUCCUUAAUAGGAAAUGGAGAGAAUGAGGGUAUAAAGGUUGAACUAAUUUACCCUAAUGAAAUAUUUGCAUGUAGAGUAGGACUCCUCCAAGUCCUUUAUCACAGAAAACAAAGUACCAGAAACCAGGUAGCUGCAAUGCAAAUAGAGAAAAACAUAGGGCAAUAUGGCCAUGUCUAAAAUAAUAUUAAAAAUUUAUUUUUUGCAAAAAUUAUAAAGAUUUGACCAAGCAAAAAAUACAGCAUAUUAAUGAAGCCAAAAUGUACCAAAUGCAUUAAAGUUUUAUUGGUUCCCAGAGUGUCCCUUUAAGUAUGUACCCCCAAGUACUGAGCAUUUACUUUUCAUAUGUUUUUCAAUAUAACAAGUGAGAAAUAAUAUAAAAAUAACAAUGUAUUGUACAAAAUGAUGUCAUAUUCCCAUCCUUCUAUAACUAAAGCUAUGCAAUAAAGAGGCUUAAAGACUUUACACUGAACUUCCAAAACAUAUGACAGACAGAAGUGGCAGGAAAUAAACUACUUAAAAACUAAGCGCAUACCACGGCAUAAAAUACUAUUUUGCUGCAUUUGCAAACCAAACAAAACUGAAGUAAAACACUUAAUUAAAGAAGAUGCAUGAAUAUUUUAAAAUUAAUUGAGAUGCUACAUUUGUGUUUGCAUGUUUUAAAUUAGUGUGGAAUACUGCAUAAUACAUAUACAUAUUGUCAAGGUUAACUAGCGUUUGUUGCUCACUUAAGCAAGCUUUUGUGUUUGAGAGUAAAUUGAAUGACAAGGUCAGUGGUUAAGUGUCUUAAUUAUACUCAAUACGUGAAAUUUAAAUGUGAAUCACCCAUUAAGUGUCUGCAUAUGUAAGAUUUCUUAUAUUGAAAGGAGCAGCAGCAAGUUUACCUGUGGUUGGAAUGAAGAAACUAAAUUUGACUUUCAAAUAAAGAAACAUGAAUAUGGGCAAAAUAUCCAAAUGUGUUUAUUUAUUUUAACUGAAUAUGUAGUUCUCAAUUGUGAUUUUAUUGUGACUAAUUGUUUCUGGAUGCUUUAACAAACUCAAGAAUUAAUAUAUGUAUGUCUUUGAUAAAGGCAUUAUAUUGGGAACUAGUGCAGAUUAUACGUUUUAUAUAUAUAUAUAUAUAUAUAUAUACACACACACACACACACACACUUACACAUACACAUACGAGCACAUGCGCAAAUACAUAUACAUAUUCAUUAACAUGGUGUAACUGACAUUAGAUUGUCUGAAAGCUUCGCCCUUGUCUAAUAUAGCUGGAUCCUUGUGUAUCAAUUCCUUGUGCAGAUAUAAAAAAAAAAAAAAAAAAUUACAUUACAUUUUUUCCAUUAUUUCCGAACGGCAUGACCCAAAUUACCUUACAUGAAAUGUGUUGUUCAGCGCAGCUGAAGGACUGAAGGUUAAAUUGGUUUAUAAAAAAAAAAAAAGCUCUACUCGUCUCUGCAUCAGCAAAACCAAAUGCUUAAUCUGUAAAAGCAGAAACGAAAACCUUUAAAAUAACGGGCUCCUAUAGCCCACUGUUUAGUGAUGUAGCCAUUACACAUUACUCUUAGGAUUGAGGAAUUCAUCAGCCCCUUUCUCUCUCCCUCUACUUGCAUCAUCCUUUCUAACAUGUUCCCACUGAUACAUUAAAGGAAUUAAUUACUCAUAAUGAUCUCACCAUCUGUUAGCAGAGGUUCAUACCUACAGGCUGGUGGCAUGUGGUGGUCCUAUUCAGCUAUCAAUAGGCAAUGCUGAAGGAACGCUUUCCCACAUUGCCAUCCAUUGCAGUCUGAAAAGGGGAAUAAAGUUCAGUGCUGGCCAUCUGCUCCAUGUCUUUCUGUAUGAGACCUUGAUGCAGUUCUGCUCAGCUCUGAUCUGACUCCAAUCUGAUUGGAAUGUGGCUGAUCUGAGAGUCUCUCAAAGCUGUGAAAGUGAGUCAAAAGGAGAUCCCCAUUGUCCAGAAUGGCUGAAUGAAAAUGAUCACUUUAAAAUUCAUAACUCACAGGUGCCUGCCCUCCAUUCAUGGGAAGAAACUCUCUGAACUUCUCUUCAUUAGAAAGAAGAACUUUUUUUUCAGUAAAAAGGAGAGAAAGGGAAGUAGUUUGUGGGAAUUUGCUGGGGAUUUUCAGGCUAAACAAAUGAGAAAUUUGGAAUGUUCUCUGGCAUUAUAGGACAGUCAUUAGAGCAAUGAACUCUUGUUAUUCCUUCCCUCAUCUGUAUGCAGGCAUGCUGAAGUUGUUUUUUUUUUUUUUCUCUCUCAUUCUUUUCUGUAAACGCUGUCUUUUCACAUAGCACAGGCAAAGGAUUUCCCGCCAAAUUUUUGGCGGUGUAUUUAUCCGUGUGUGGUAUAUAUUUUAUUUUUAUUGUUUAUUUAGAAAUGUAUUCGCUGAAGUGUGUGGAAUAAAUAUUGGAACAACUUUACAAAUUUUAAGAUAUAAAUCAAUUUGUUAUAUGUUAGCAGGUAUUACUAGUGUGUAGUAAAUAGAGACAGACACCUUUACAGGGUUGUCAAACUUGUUGAAGCUUUGAGGUUUUCUGGAGGAUGUCGUGUGGUUAUUAAGCUCAGUAUAAGAAAGGCGCGCAAGUUCCUUGUGAUGUGGAAUAAAGAAUACCGUUCUAGAAUUAGACCAGAGAUAAGGCGAUGGGAAGAGCUGGAGUGAUCAUAUUGCUCAGGUGGAGUGAUAUUUUCAAGAACAAGACAAGAAAUGUAAAAGGUUUUGUCAGGAUUGGUGCAUUAGCCAAUUAAAAUCUUCAAUUAUUUCACAAUAACAAGUAUAGCAAUAACACUGCAGCACUAAGUGGUAUAAUGAAUUAUAGAAAAUGUUGCAUUUACUGAAGUAGAUUUGUGAUGAAGAUUUGUAUUUUAUAUCACUAUAGUCAAUUAGUGGCAUUAGAACAUGCCGCAUUAUCAAUUAAACAAUAUUUAUUUCAGUACAGAGUACUAUCAAAUGCUAUGAUCUUUGAUUCAAAUAAAGAUAAUCAAAUCAAACCUAUGUCACUAGCUGUCAACCAGAAGACAAGUCGCCUGUGUUAACUUGCUCAAGGAGACAUGAAUGGACAUUUGACUAUACUAGAGGGGUCUAUAAGAGACCAUUACAUCAAAUUCGCACAUUUUAUAGUUUUCUAUAUUGCUAAUGUGAGUACUCUUACGACUACAGGGUUCACAGGCUAAAAUGACUGGGGAAGAGAUAAAGAAGCUAAUUAAUAUAACCAAUGACAAAAUUGUUGCUAUAGUAAGGGGGAAAAUACCUGUUUCGUAUUGAGAUGAAGAUCACACCAAGCAUAGUGUAAAGUCAAGAAUGCAGUUGACAGUGGGGUUCUCAAAGAUGACAAAGAUGAAUUUCAGUGGUUCAUCCACAAGUAGGGAAACACAAUUACUCCUAAGGGUGCUCAGAAGUUCAGCCUCACUGCAGGCCAGUAAAAUGGGAUAAGUUUGUACUUUGAUAUUGAGAUAUGUAGCAAUGAUGUCACACUUUAUAUACGUAGCAAUAAUGUAGUACUUUGGAUGGAUUUUAAAUAUUCACAUGUAUUGUUGGUAUGUACAAUACAUUUAUAUAUACAACUGAAAAAGAAACAAAUAGACAAGCGCUAUUACAACUAUUACAUCUAGUUCGUAGGUGUUGUGGAACGGCCAGCACCACGGCCAAACCAGAGGUCCGCCUUCCUGGAAGAUGGUGGAGUAACUUACAAGGAAGGUAAGGGUUCACUUCAGAGGAUAUAUGGAAGAUAAAUCACAAGAGACAUCCAAUAAUCUAUUUAAAAACACACUAGUGAGCAUCACCUAAGAUAAGGCUUUUUCAAAAAAUCAUCCAGAAUCAGACGCUCAGACACUUUAAAAAAAGCCUUACAUAGGUUAAUUGCGUCAGCGUGGUUUAAAUAGAUUUUUUUUUGUUUUUAUAUGUUUUAAAGAAACUACUUUUCAAAUAUAUCUUGGAUCCUUGUACUUUCUGCUAACCCGAACAACUACAUCCUUCAUGAGGAAAUAAUUCACCUGCGCUCAGUGGAUUGUAGAGUAAAUGCAAUACCAAGAAGCUGCUCAAUGAUAGCUGCAAAAGUCAUGGACAGCUGUAGAGUUAAUGCAGUGGGUUCAAGAGUGGACAAUACCAAGCACUGUGACCGCUCUAUUUGGUUGCAUCAAUAUGCACCCACCAGCUGAGACCAGCAGAGGGCAAAAUAGCCGUCCAAGUCUACAAUAUCUGAGACAUCAUUGCCAUAUAACCUCAACCUAUGGCAGACCUCUCUCUGCCUGCUCUUAUGCUUCCAGAACAUUCAUUUCUUACAGGUAAUAAGGAGAGUAGAGCACCAAAGGGAAGGGAGGACACCAAUGCAUCAUCUACUUGAUCCUGUACAUCAACAUGCACAUCAGUUAUUCAACUUCUGGCAUCACAUCUCAGAUACACAAGAUAGUAAAUAACAUUUUGGUGUAACACCAUUUUUAUUUUGAGUUCUAGUAAAUCUGCCCUUGCAUUUGGAUCUCUAUAUUUCAGGAUUAGUAAAGAUUUUGCCAAUUUCCAAAAUUAUAUGUAUAUCCAGGAAGCAUUGAUUAAGGUUGCAGUAAGGUGGGCAGUUUUUGGUACAUUGUUCAGAUUUAAUUCUAUUUUGUUUAAAUCUUGUUUUUAGUUCAAGGAGAUCUUUUCUUAAUAUUAUUAUUUAGAUAUUAUUAACAGAUUGUGCAAUUUCGUGUAACCUAAAAUGGAUACACGAACAGCACAUAAUUGACAAAUUACUAUGUCAAAAGCAAGGUUUACCAAGACAGUGGGGUGUGCAAACAAUUAUGAAUUUGUUGUAUAGAAUAUUCAAAGUGCGUGGAACUUCCUGCAGCAAUAUUUUUCUGCAAGUGAACAUCUUUGAAGGAAUGGAGUUAUCUUCAUGUUCCAUAGCUGGACAGGGGCCAACACUAAGGAAUGGAAGGUAACAGCUCUGCAUAUUGUGUUUGUUCUACCAUAUCUAAGUUGAUAGACAGGACAAAACAGUAAUUCAGAUCAGAAUUCAACAAUCUCACCAAGCACAUCAAUACUACUGAAUGUAAGUUCCUAGCUAACAAGAUAACUGACUUGUACAUUCCAACUAAUCUCCCUGAGUUCACUAGAAUCUAGAUGUUUCUUUAUUACUUCUUCUUUUGGUCUUAACGUGGUAGGCACAGUUAGAACAUAAGAAUUGGAAGAAAGAGAGAGGGGCUAUGGGGUGGGGAAACCACCACCACUACCCCACAAAAAGGUUACAGAGGUACAAGGGGCAUAACCCCACAAUAUAUAUAGAAAAAAAGAGACGAAAAAUGGGGCAGACAGUCCACUCACAAAAAAGUGGGUGGAAUGCCUAGCCUCAUUCAAAGUACCUCAUAAUGUAAAUAGUCACAUAGAAGAGGAUAAACAACCUUUAUUAGAAAAAAAUGCUAAAAUGGUAUAUAGUCCAAAUACUAUUACCAUACA
rnacentral:lncRNA from 1 species